rnacentral:rRNA from 1 species
CCUACGGGAGGCAGCAGUGGGGAAUAUUGGGCAAUGGACGCAAGUCUGACCCAGCAACGCCGCGUGAAGGAAGAAGGCUUUCUGGUUGUAAACUUCUUUUAAGGGGGAAGAGCAGAAGACGGUACCCCUUGAAUAAGCCACGGCUAACUACGUGCCAGCAGCCGCGGGAAUACGUAGGUGGCAAGCGUUGUCCGGAUUUACUGGGUGUAAAGGGCGUUCAGGCGGGGAGACAAGUCAGAUGUGAAAUCCACGGGGUCAAGCCGUGAACGGCAUUUGAAACUGUUUCCCUUGUGUGUCGGAGAGGUAAUCGGAAUGCGUGGUGUAGCGGUGAAAUGCGGAGAUAUAAGGAAGAACACCGGUGGCGAAGGCGGAUUACUGGACGAUAACUGACGGUGAGGCGCGAAAGCGUGGGGAGCAAACAGGAUUAGAUACCCGGGUAGUC